rnacentral:rRNA from 1 species
UACGAAGAGGGCUAGCGUUGCUCGGAAUCACUGGGCGUAAAGGGUGCGUAGGCGGGUCUUUAAGUCAGGGGUGAAAUCCUGGAGCUCAACUCCAGAACUGCCUUUGAUACUGAGGAUCUUGAGUACGGGAGAGGUGAGUGGAACUGCGAGUGUAGAGGUGAAAUUCGUAGAUAUUCGCAAGAACACCAGUGGCGAAGGCGGCUCACUGGCCCGGUACUGACGCUGAGGUGCGAAAGCGUGGGGAGCAAACAGG